rnacentral:rRNA from 1 species
CAGCCGCCACGGGAAUACGAAGGGGGCUAGCGUUGCUCGGAAUGACUGGGCGUAAAGGGCGCGUAGGCGGCAUACACAGUCAGGCGUGAAAUUCCUGGGCUCAACCUGGGGGCUGCGUUUGAUACGUGUAGGCUAGAGUGGGGAAGAGGGUUGUGGAAUUCCCAGUGUAGAGGUGAAAUUCGUAGAUAUUGGGAAGAACACCGGUGGCGAAGGCGGCAACCUGGUCCUUGACUGACGCUGAGGCGCGAAAGCGUGGGGAGCAAACAGGAUUAGAUACCCGCGUAGUCCCUGUCUCUUAUAC